UUACGGCCAUAUCACGCUGAAACAUCGGUUCCCGUACGAUUACUGAAGUUAAGCAAUGUCGAACUUGGUCAGUACCACGAUGGGUGACCGUUUGAGAAUACCAGGAGCUGUAA